GACGUAGGGCGCGAGCGUUGUCCGGAUUUAUUGGGCGUAAAGAGCUCGUAGGCGGCUUGUUGCGUCGACUGCGAAAACCCGCGGCUUAACUGCGGGCUUGCAGUUGAUACGGGCAGGCUAGAGUUCGGUAGGGGAGACUGGAAUUCCUGGUGUAGCGGUGAAAUGCGCAGAUAUCAGGAGGAACACCGGUGGCGAAGGCGGGUCUCUGGGCCGAUACUGACGCUGAGGAGCGAAAGCGUGGGGAGCGAACAGG
rnacentral:rRNA from 1 species